UACGUAGGGUGCGAGCGUUGUCCGGAAUUACUGGGUUUAAAGGGCGCGUAGGCGGCUUGGCAAGUCAAAGGUGAAAUCCCUCGGCCUAACCGAGGAACUGCCUUUGAUACUGCUUGGCUUGAGGCCGGGAGAGGGUAGCGGAAUUCCCAGUGUAGCGGUGAAAUGCGUAGAUAUUGGGAGGAACACCAGUGGCGAAGGCGGCUACCUGGACCGGUUCUGACGCUGAGGCGCGAAAGCGUGGGGAGCAAACAGG
rnacentral:rRNA from 1 species